UCCCUGGUGGCUUAGAUGGUAAAGAAUCUGCCUGCAAGGCAGGAGACCCAGGUUUGAUCCCUGGGAGGGGAA
rnacentral:tRNA from 1 species